rnacentral:misc_RNA from 1 species
CAACCCCUAAGCACAGCUUAUUGUUGGGCGUCUACUCCUGUAGUGCCUCAAAGACAUUGGCGGAGCGGCAGUAGUCCUCUGAGCGUAGUAAUUCUUUAUCUCGCUUUUGUUAGGUGCUGCCUCCCCGGCCGUAAAACCCCCAAUUUUUUCU